rnacentral:rRNA from 1 species
AUUGAACGCUGGCGGCAUGCUUUACACAUGCAAGUCGAACGGUAACAGGCCUUCGGGUGCUGACGAGUGGCGAACGGGUGAGUAAUGCAUCGGAACGUGCCCAGAGGUGGGGGAUAACGCAGCGAAAGCUGUGCUAAUACCGCAUGUGAUCUGAGGAUGAAAGCGGGGGACCAGGCAGCAAUGUUUGGCCUCGCGCCUUUGGAGCGGCCGAUGUCAGAUUAGGUAGUUGGUGGGGUAAAGGCCUACCAAGCCGACGAUCUGUAGCUGGUCUGAGAGGACGACCAGCCACACUGGGACUGAGACACGGCCCAGAAUCCUACGGGAGGCAGCAGUGGGGAAUUUUGGACAAUGGGCGCAAGCCUGAUCCAGCAAUGCCGCGUGCGGGAAGAAGGCCUUCGGGUUGUAAACCGCUUUUGUACGGAACGAAAAGGCUCUGGCUAAUACCUGGGGCUGAUGACGGUACCGUAAGAAUAAGCACCGGCUAACUACGUG